rnacentral:rRNA from 11 species
UCAUCGGCACCCUUCUCGAUGAAGUACUCAGCGAUGUCCGGAUAGCCAUAUGAGAACAGAAAAUGUAGGCCGGUAUGGCCUUUAACGUUUUGGGCAUCCAUG